GCUGUUUAACUAGACGUAAGGCCUGCUCAAUAUGGGAGAAUUCAUGCCUGGGACUAUAUGUAACCAACUCCACAUGGAAGGAGGGGCAGAGAUCCUAGAGCAGAAACACACUUCUGCCAUUUUCCUAAGUCCGAAUGACUUCUAACUGGAUUUUAAAUAUUUAUCUUUCUACCCAAUGCUACCAUCUGUCUCUUCUGGAGAUAGCCACCCAGUAUCAGCAGACUCUACCCUUCCCAGACACUGAGGUGUUGUGGUCAAGGCAGCACUACAAUCAGCUAUUCCAGACCUUGUCAUAAAGGGCCAUCCAAAACUUAUCCUUGUAGAACACAGCUCCAAAACUGCAUAGACAACACACUCCUUGCUGAUAUCUGCUCUGCUUUCUGUGACAAAAAGAAUCACUAAUGCCCAUCUCCUCACUGGAUUACUUCAAAUACUGUAGGAAAGACUGGAAGAGGUAUGGUUCCUGGCCUUUAAAGUUAUGGUUU